AGAGUUUGAUCAUGGCUCAGGAUCAACGCUGGCGGCGUGCCUAAUGCAUGCAAGUCGAACGGAGCCGCCUUCGGGCGGUCACGUGGCGGACGGGUGAGGAACACGUGGGCGAUCUGCCCCGGGGCGGGGGAUAGCCACCAGAAAUGGUGGGUAAUACCGCAUGAGCUCGGCGACUUACGGGUCACCGAGGAAAGGCGCAAGCCACCCUGGGAGGAGCCUGCGGCGGAUUAGCUCGUUGGCGGGGUAACGGCUCACCAAGGCAAUGAUCCGUAGCUGGUCUGAGAGGACGGCCAGCCACAGGGGAACUGAGACACGGUCCCCACUCCUACGGGAGGCAGCAGCAAGGAAUUUUCCGCAAUGGGCGAAAGCCUGACGGAGCAACGCCGCGUGGGGGAUGACGCUUUUCGGAGUGUAAACCCCUUUUCUCAGGGAUGAAGCAAUGACAGUACCUGAGGAAUAAGGCCCGGCUAACUACGUGCCAGCAGCCGCGGUAAUACGUAGGGGUCGAGCGUUGUCCGGAGUUACUGGGCGUAAAGCGCGCGCAGGCGGCGCGAUAAGACCGGCGUGAAAGCCCCCGGCUCAACCGGGGAGGGUCGUUGGUGACUGUCGCGCUUGAAGGCAGCAGGGGUGAGUGGAAUUCCCGGUGUAGUGGUGAAAUGCGUAGAGAUCGGGAGGAGCACCCGUGGCGAAGGCGGCUCACUGGGCUGACCUUGACGCUGAGGCGCGAAGGCGUGGGGAGCGAACGGGAUUAGAUACCCUAGUAGUCC
rnacentral:rRNA from 1 species